rnacentral:ncRNA from 1 species
CGAUGGUCCUUCCAGCCGGAAGGUGAAAAGGGAAUGCGGUGCGGGGUUCGCCCCAACGCCGCGGCUGCCCCCGCAACUGUGAGCGGAAAGCCGCCCGCCCCAUGCCACUGGGUCUUCAGGACCUGGGAAGGCGGGCGGGAGGCGUUCGAUCCGCGAGCCAGGAGACCUGCCAUCGGAG